rnacentral:rRNA from 1 species
GACGAACGCUGGCGGCGUGCUUAACACAUGCAAGUCGAACGGAAAGGCCCUUCGGGGUACUCGAGUGGCGAACGGGCGAGUAACACGUUGGUGCUUUGCCCUGCACUUUGUGAUAAGCCUGGGAAACUGGGUCUAAUACCGAAUAAGACCACGAUAUACAUGAUGUGUGGUGGAAAUCUUUUGCGGUGUUGGUUGGGUCCGAGGCCUAUCAGCUUGUUGGUCGGGUAUUGGCCUACCAAGGCGAGGACGGGUAGCCGGCCUGAGAGGGUGACCGGCGACACUGGGACUGAGAGACGGCCCAGACUCCUACGGGAGGCAGCAGUGGGGAGUAUUGCACAAUGGGCGCGAGCCUGAUGCAGCGACGCCGCGUGAGUGAUGACGGCCUUCGGGGUGUAAACCUCUGUCAAUAGGGACGAAGCGCAAGUGACGGUACCUAUAGAAGAAGCACCGGCCAACUACGUG